UGGUGUUGAUUGCGGUGAGGGUCCACCCGUUCCCAUCCCGAACACGGAAGUUAAGCUCACCUGCGCCGAAAAUACUUGUCUGGAGACGGACCGGGAAGAUAGGUAACGC
rnacentral:rRNA from 2 species